rnacentral:rRNA from 1 species
UUAACACAUGCAAGUCGAGCGAGAAAGGGGGGGCAACCCCCUGAGUAGAGCGGCGCACGGGUGAGUAACGCGUGGGUAACCUACCCCCAGGCGGGGGAUAACUACUCGAAAGGGUGGCUAAUACCGCAUGAGACCACGGGAUCUUCGGAUCCUGAGGCUAAAGAUCGCACCGGCUUGCCGGUGCUGUCACCAGGGGAUGGGCCCGCGUCCGAUUAGCUAGUUGGUGAGGUAAUGGCUCACCAAGGCUCCGAUCGGUAGCUGGUCUGAGAGGAUGAUCAGCCACACUGGAACUGAAACACGGUCCAGACUCCUACGGGAGGCAGCAGUGAGGAAUAUUGCGCAAUGGGGGAAACCCUGACGCAGCAACGCCGCGUGGGUGAAGAAGCCCUUCGGGUCGUAAAGCCCUUUCGGACGGGACGAACGCUCCGCGGUGACAAGCCGCGGAGUCUGACGGUACCGUAGGAAGAAGCACCGGCUAACUCCGUGCCAGCAGCCGCGGUAAUACGGAGGGUGCGAGCGUUGUUCGGAAUUACUGGGCGUAAAGCGCGUGUAGGCGGCCUUGCAAGUCAGGCGUGAAAGCCCUCGGCUUAACCGGGGAAGUGCGUCUGAAACUGCUUGGCUUGAGUACGGGAGAGGGAGGCGGAAUUCCCAGUGUAGAGGUGAAAUUCGUAGAUAUUGGGAGGAACACCGGUGGCGAAAGCGGCCUCCUGGACCGAUACUGACGCUGAGACGCGAAAGCGUGGGGAGCAAACAGGAUUAGAUACCCUGGUAGUCCACGCGGUAAACGAUGGGCACUAGGUGUGGGGGGUAUCCACUCCUCCCGUGCCGAAGCUAACGCAUUAAGUGCCCC